GGUGCAGCCACUUGCUCGCAGGAUAUUCGCAGUUUUUUUUCUUAUUAAAAACACAGCGAAGUCUCAGAUGUCGGAGGUACCUGUGUGGCACAUAAAUAUACAACAACAACAACAAGCGAGGCACACAGCUUCCCCGGAGAGGACUCUUUUUAACCGGAUAAAGAAAGCCGUGGCAUUGAGGCAAAAAACUGCCUUCAAGGAGAAAGCACCACCGGAGGGUUGCUACGGGGAGUAGUUUAAAAAAAACAUCAUCUGAAAUACGAGACAGCGAGUCCACUACAGGUUCACUCAAGGCCUGAAAACCAAUAAGCCAUCAGCAACAUUAUCAGCAGCGCUGACUUUUCUUCUGCACCGUCAGUGAGAGAGACGCUCAAAGACGACGUUGACAUCCUGAGGAAGAAAAAAAGACGCCCCGCGGCGAAAGCAGCUCAGACGCCUCGACAUUGGAACCUCUGCUGCCAGAUAGGACGGGGACGGAUGGCUGUCGUCCACACGGCGCUGCAAUUAGGAGGCACAAGCGGCCGCCGCGUGUUUCCUUGACAGCAGCCAAUCCCACUUCCACCUACAACACCAUCCAACGCUGCAGCCAACGAUCCAGGGGCGGGUUCGAGCACGCCGCCGGCAGCGGCAGCGGCAGCGCCUCCGUCUGAAUGUGAUACGCGCUCAACGGGCCUCUGCGACUCAGGAGAACGUGAAGGCUCGACUGACGGCUCAAACAAUGAGCUUCAUCCAUUUGUCACACCGACGGUCUGGGUGCGUUUCCAUUUCUUCCCCCAGUAACAGAGAUGAGAUGGUGGAACAGAACCUCAGCGUUGAAAAGGUGCCUUUUGCCCCCCAACGAUUCAACUAAAACGGCUACGAUUGAAAAUGUAAAGGCAAAAAACACGCGAUGAUUCAGAUAAAUUCUUUUAGAUGCAAAAGAGGGAAUAUGUUUGGACAUUCAGGGGUGGAAGGCUCUGCUUGAGAAUCUCGUAACGCAAGAAUUAACGGAAUUAAAACGGCCCAGCUCGUCGAGAUUUCCGUCAAAUUAAAAAUAAACAAGAAACGGUGACAGGCA
ensembl:lncRNA